GCCCUCAUUGGCCAUCACCGCUCUCCUAAAGCGGGUGUCGCAGGUUCGAAUCCUGCCGGGGGCA
rnacentral:tRNA from 1 species